UACGGAGGGUGCGAGCGUUGUUCGGAUUCACUGGGCGUAAAGGGUGCGCAGGCGGCUGGGUGUGUCGGGUGUGAAAGCUUGAGGCUUAACCUCGAAACUGCGUUCGAAACUAUCCGGUUAGAGUACUGGAGAGGGAAGCGGAACUCACGGUGUAGCAGUGAAAUGCGUAGAUAUCGUGAGGAACACCAAUGGCGAAGGCAGCUUCUUGGACAGUUACUGACGCUCAGGCACGAAAGCGUGGGGAGCAAAAGGG
rnacentral:rRNA from 1 species